UGUAUGAAAUAAGAAUUAAGCAGCCUACAGUUUCUAGAUUUUUGUGAUACUUUGGAUAGCUCUUACUGGAUAUGUGGGAAAGUGGAUAAUGUCGAAGCGAUUCAUGAAUGGUGGUACAUGGGUUGCACGCGUUGUGGGAAAAAAGUAACACCAGUUGACAAUAAGUUCUAUUGUGAUGCUUGCAAGAAAUAUGAUGGGGUGGCCAACAAGAGAUUCAUGGUGAAGGUCAAUGUCGUUGAUGCCAGUAGUGAUGCUACUCUGUUACUGUGGGAUCGUGAAUGUGUUAAGCUUUUGGGUAAAAGAGCUUGAGAAAUUGAUGUUGAAGGUGUUGAGCCAAGAGAUUCAUGCAACAUUCCCAAAGAAAUUAAGGAGAAGUUUCUUCACAGGGUGAUUUUAUUCAAGGUGCAAUUGAGGAAUGAUGGAGAUUUUCGGUUUGAUGAACCAUAUACUGUGAAGAAGAUUUGCAUAACACCUGAAAUUGUUGAGAAACAUGCUGCUGAGUUUCUUUACAGUUUGAAUGAUGUUAAAAGUCAAAAUGAUUCUGCCAAAUCAUUCUCUGAUAUUUCAUUUGUUGAUGAUGUUGUC